GAUGAACGCUGGCGGCGUGCCUAAUACAUGCAAGUCGAGCGAACAGACGAGGAGCUUGCUCCUCUGACGUUAGCGGCGGACGGGUGAGUAACACGUGGAUAACCUACCUAUAAGACUGGGAUAACUUCGGGAAACCGGAGCUAAUACCGGAUAAUAUAUUGAACCGCAUGGUUCAAUAGUGAAAGACGGUUUUGCUGUCACUUAUAGAUGAAUCCGCGCCGCAUUAGCUAGUUGGUAAGGUAACGGCUUACCAAGGCAACGAUGCGUAGCCGACCUGAGAGGGUGAUCGGCCACACUGGAACUGAGACACGGUCCAGACUCCUACGGGAGGCAGCAGUAGGGAAUCUUCCGCAAUGGGCGAAAGCCUGACGGGGCAACGCCGCGUGAGUGAUGAAGGUCUUCGGAUCGUAAAACUCUGUUAUUAGGGAAGAACAAAUGUGUAAGUAACUAUGCACGUCUUGACGGUACCUAAUCAGAAAGCCACGGCUAACUACGUG
rnacentral:rRNA from 1 species